rnacentral:misc_RNA from 1 species
UUUCCGUAGGUGAACCUGCGGAAGGAUCAUUACCAAUUGGCGAACCUAGCGUUAGCGAGGUUUCGCGAUCAAUUUGUAUUUAAAACCCAACUCUUGAAUAAAAUAUAUAAUUAUAUGAAUCAUAUAAAAAAAGAUCACUUUCAACAACGGAUCUCUUGGCUCUC